UGAAGUGUUAGGCAGGUGGGCCA
rnacentral:piRNA from 1 species